GCCACGGUAGCUCAGGGGUAGAGCAGGGCUUUUGUAAAGCUCAGGUCGUGGGUUCAAAUCCUACCUGUGGCACCA
rnacentral:tRNA from 1 species